ACCCACUAAGGCUUUUUUCUUGUGCUCUCAUCCAGUCAGAGUGUGAGAUAUCAGCAGAGUCCAUGUGAUGUUAAAUCUGUGUGGUCCAACAAACUGCAUGCACAGGGGAGAUUGGAAUGUUCAUUGAUGCGAGUCAACAUCGUCUGUCUCUCUGUCUGUCUGUUUCUCUACUUAAUUACACAAGGUUUUAAUUGAAUUUCAAAAUCCCGGCCCUGCUAUGUGAGCUCAUGGUUAUUAAUGAUCUUCUCAUCAUUUCUCUCAGGAGAGAGAAAAGCAAUACCUAACUUCCUCUCCAAUGAAAAGCUUGGAAGUCAGAAUUUGGCUCUGUUUUUAAUCCUGCUGUGUUAGUAAGAUGACUCUGCAGAUUAAGAAAUACUAAGAAGGUGGAGGUCUAAUGUGAAAAUAUUAACGAGGGGGAGGGUACUGAAUGAUGUCCCGAGCGUUAAGGUUUCCCUUCACUGGAACUAAGAGGCCCAAACCUGUCCCAGCAUGACGAUGUCCCUGUGCACAAAGUGAUGUCCAUGAAGACCAAAGUUGGGUUGGAAGAACUCGAGUGUCCUACACCGAGCUCUGACUGAACACCUUUAGGAUGAAUUGGAACGCUGAGUGUGCCUCGGAUGUUUAGGCGGUAAUAAUGCAGUGAAUAUUUCUCAGUCCUGUCAUGGUGUCCAUGGAAACCAAGAGGUCCGACAUCAGUGCCCAGAUCUCACUAAUGCUCCUGUGGCUGAACGAUCACAAAUCCCCAGAGCUAUGCUCCAUAAUCUAUUGGAAAGCCUUCCCAGAAGAGUGGAGGCUAUUAUAACGGUAAGGGGGAAUAAAUCUGGAAUGGAAUGGAGCAAGCACAUGGUGUGAUGGCCAUCAGGUGUUGACAAACCUUGUUUUCACCAUUUUUAAUGUUCUCCCUAAAGACUUUUCAAAUGACUUGAAAGAAAGGUCAGUAUUUUUGGCUUUAAAGCAUUUAGAUAGCAAUUCUCCUUCCUAUAUAUUCAUAACUUUAUUGCUCACAGCAAAGAUGGCCUCAAAAGGCACAUUUGACUAAAUACAGUGCUCUCCACUAAUAUUGGCACCCUUGGAAAAUAUGAGCAAAGAAGGCUGUGA
ensembl:lncRNA